UUGUUCUGUUCCUUGAAUCUAAUGCCUCUUUCAUAGUGUUGGUUUCCCUCAAAUGUCCAGCAUUUCCUGAUUUGGGCUCAUCUCAGAGUUCCAGAUCCGCUGUUUGUCACUGCUGACCACAGGUCAUCACAACAGAAGCCAGCCUCAGGGAGCUGGUGGGGCCGAUGCCAGGAGGGUGCCCAGAGCCUGGCCCUCUUAGACUGGGGCUUCCUGUGUGCUCCUAGGCUCAUCAGUUGUCUUGGGUACUGACAUGCUCCCCUGCCAUCAGCCUGUACACUUGAUGCUUUAGGGAGGGUUUGGCCAAUAUAAGUCCCAUUGCUUUUAGACUUUCCCUUUCCCACUGUCUCUGCUUGGAGCAAGCCCCAGGCAGUGCCUAGCUCAGCUGCAUCCCUCAGUGGUUUGGGGGCUGUGGUCUUCUCCUGUCUUGUUUCUCAGUCAAUCCAGUCCUAUCUGUUUGCUUUCCUAGGGAGUUGUUUAAAUUUCUGGUCAGUGAAUGGCACUCUUUCUAAUUGCAAAUGAUUAUUAUUUUUUUAAUUAUUACUUUAGCAAUUUCAUAUCAGUUUUAGAAAGAGGAUACCACAACUGUGCUCAGUGUCCUUGACAAAACUGUUUUCACUAUUUCCUUUGCUUAUCAAGUCAUUCAUUUAAUUACCAUUUAUGGAAUAUCUACCAUAUAAAAAUAUUUUCUCUACCAUACUGUCCCUAAAAUAAAGGUAUUUAGCCUCCCACAAAACACAGGUUUGGUAAAAUGAACUAAAAGAAUUUACCAAACAAAAGUGUUAACUUUCUCCUCUGAUACUAAAGGCAUUAGGGCUAUUUCCAAUUUUACUUUUUACUUCUCCAUUGUACACUGUGAUACUAACAUAAAUGUCAUAAUCAGCAAAUAUUCUGGUUUAAUGAAAAGUUACCACUAGGUGGUGCUAAGAAGUUACCCUUUUUAGAUGGAAGAAUCUUCACUUUUAAAUUGAAAUCAGAUUUGUUUAAGCUAGUGUGAAUUAGGUAGCAUCCUCACUUGCAUGCACAUACUUCUACCAAAUUAAAAAAGAAUGUUAACGUAUAUAUUUUAUUUGGGUUCAGUUUUCUAUAUUGUUCUCCAAUGCUGAGGUUUAAACUAUUCUUUAAAAAGACUACUUUUCACAGUGUAGGAUAUUUAUACCAACUCUGUGUGGGAGGUGCUUUCAAGAAGAUAACUCAAAAGGGUAUAAGUUUGGUAGGAAACUUAUCCAUGAUUCCCCUGCUGAAAAGCCAGUAACAGCUGCUGGCUCCUUCCCAAACAUUUACAUUCAAAUGAGCCAUUCAUUACCUGAAGCAUAUAGGAAACCCAGUCUUAGCCUAAAAAAGAAAAAAAAAA